CCACUUCCAAUUGGCAAUAUAUUGUGGCCGACAUAAUUAUCAAGUAAAUUUUUUAUUUGUGCGAUGUUUGUGUCAUUACCAUCCCAGGCCUCGUGCCAAAAAUACUUUUUUCUGAAUGAGGAAUCAUGUUUUAAUCUUGCCAGACCUUGCAACACCCCUAACCAAAACACCUGAUCCCCUGUUCUUAUUUUAGAUGUGUUGCUUACAGGGUCCAGCAGGUGGAGCCAGUCGUUCAGGUGAUUGAGGAGCGUGAAGGCGUCCGGGAUGUUGUCGCCCUCCGAGCAGAAGAUGAGCAGCACGGCUAGUGGGACCUCGUUUGCACAGCUACACAACCACAUCGUCAGCUAUAACACAUUUCCUGUCAAUGUUUUUUUUUUUUUUUUUAAAAGACACCCACCUAUCUGUGAAGAGCCCUUUUGUGAUGCCGCCUCCAGGGACAAAGAGCCUUGGCUCCACGUUGCCGUCUACAUGUCCUGGGCAAGGGGGCACCCUCUCCAUCUCCCUCCAUCCCAGCUCCUUCAGGGCGUCUGCGCUGGCCUUCAGGAGGCUGGGUGUGAUCAGGUACCUUAUAGGAGUGCUAAAACACACAGCACAGAUGCCAGGUUAUCAAUACAGAUGUGUGGUGUGAAUAAAACCAACACAAAACGCACAAACCAGUUGAGAACCAUUGAUUUAGAGCAGCGUUCAUGCGGUAUGUGCUUUAAAAAAGUGGUCUUGUAAUACAUUGCAGUGAUACUCAACUGGUGGGUGGGGAACCAAAAGCCAGAUGUUACAUACAAAUAUGUGAUAUACAACCAAUGUCUGAAAGAAUUACUAAUUUUGAUAUGCCAUUUCAUCUCGCCUAUGCAAUGAGCCUUUAGUAAUUGGACCAUACCCUUGCAGCUGCUGGUCAUCCCUCUGGUAGGCAUGGCUGCUGGAUAGAACAACCGUCCUGGAGAAACCACUAGAUUUGAUCCAGGACAACAGCAGCUGACUGAACUUUUUGGAUUUUGUCUGAGGGGCAAAAAAACAAUUUAGAAUCAUGUGGAAUCUACAGCGGUCCACAGCAAGGGAUGUGGAUACCUUCACAAUUGGCGCCCUGAUUUGAAGAACAGCUAGCUUGAGCUCAGGUGCAGCGUAGACUGUUGGUAUGAAGGGUAGAUUAAUUAGGGUUAAUUUGCGCUAUGAAGGCUAAUUCUACACAUGCACCUUCUGCAGCAGUGUGCAGCUCCUCUUCGUCGUCCUUGGAGGUGGCGUACGGGUUAUUCCCCGCCAUGGGGAUGAGGCAGUCCGUGUGCAGGUACCCCACUCGGCGUAGGUUUAGGGUGGAUAUGAUCAGAUCCACCGCCAGCUGGCCCACAUUGCCCACCGCCACUGCCGGCUAGAGUCAGGGGAAAUGCAUAAUCAAGACGUACACCCUUUAGGCAACUUAUUUCUGCCUUCGAUUGUACAUGUUUUUAAACCAUUUUCCCACAUUGUGUGCUUAAAUAAGAAAAGCAUGUUUUUGCUCUGUAAAAACGAAUUAGCUCUCACACUCCUAUUACAAUCUUUUAGAGGCUAACUAGCUUACAAAAUUAGUUAACUCGCGUACACGAAAACAUUAGGCACAUAACUCACCAUAACGAGCGUCACAUCUUUAAAUAUAGGCAUGGAGCUUUGUGAAGAGAUAAACAUGAUGGGUUUUGUUAACAAAAAUGUAAAAGAGACAAUCUUGAGCAGUUUCUAUUCUGUUUUCAUGCAGGGCGCUGGGGUCCUUCGGUCCCGGUGUCGACUCAUUGUGAUUGAAGGCUAUAAAGUGCCUGAAUAAAAAUGAAACAAAAAUGUAGUUUGGUUGAAAAUGUUUUGACAGGGAUUAUGAACGUUUACUUGUAUCCUUCCAAUUCAGUCGUCGACUCAUCCGGAUUGAAUACUUGGAUGUGCCUGAAUAAAAGUCAUGAAAAUCAGGUCAAAUAAAAAAUAAUGAAACAAUAAAAUGUAAUGCUUUGCGUUAAUUUUUCAACAAAACGGGUUGACAUUUUAAGUCUUUGCUGUUCAAACAUGUUGUAAAAUGUUGGUUUAUAUACUGGCAUAUAUUUGAGCUACUACUUCCGUAAACAUUUUCCGCGUCCAAGAGAAGUAAGUUUUGAAGCGGUAAUGUAAACAAACACAACUAACACGCCGUUGACAGCAAAUCACAUACAUUUCUCACGUAAUGUUAAUGUGUUAGUUUAUUUUUUUAUUUCACCAUACAUAUAUAAUGGGAAAAUGCGAAAUUUAAAACCAUAUACAAUAGGAAAAUGCGAAGUUACUCAGAACCCCUCUGACAACACCCUAGUUUAAAAAAAUACUGUAUUGUCCAUAUAUUAUUAAUACAGUACUCGAAAUAUUGCAUGACUUAAACAACAUAUAUCGAGCAUCAUUUAAAAAAAAUAAUUCAACAUUUCACUUCAUCAGGGAUGGAUUCUCCUUUCAUGGCAGCCAAGGCGUUUUCUACCAUCUUCCGCACCAUCCUUCUUAUCGUGGUGAUAGUGCUGGUGCCGAAAUGAGGGGUGAUCAGCACAUUGGGAAGGCCGAUGAGAGGAUGAUCCCUGUGGAGAAUGACAUUGAGGAUUUGUCAGUGGCAGAGUUGGGAACAAGACAUUCAUGUCAAAUCCUUUGGCGCGCUGAGCGAUCCUCUCGCCGAUCUUUCCCAUUCCGAUAAUCCCCAGAGUUGACCCCGUGACCUCCACGCCUCCCAGCCAUUGAGGGCGACGAGCCCCACCUUCGACAAUGGUUCGCGCCGACGCCAGCAGGAGCCCCAUGGCCAUGUCCGCAGUGCAGUCGCUGACCACCCCGGGCGUGUUGGCCACCUUCAGCCCCAGGCUGGUGACGUAGGGCAGGUCCAGGUGGUCGUAGCCCGCCCCCCCACUGGAGAUUAACUUGAGGGACGGGAGCGAGCUGAGCAGCGCCGGCGUGGCCUGUGGGGUACACAGCCACUGAAACAGCACCUGGAUUUUGGGGCCGUGCAGUUGGGGGUCCCGUAGGAAGUCCUCGUGGGGGACCAGCUGAAAGUGUUGACUCAGGAGGUCCACUGCCUCCUCCAGGAUGCCUUGCUCGCCCACCUCAGAAAUCAGAGCCCACGGUUUGUCGCUCUCCAUCAUCUGCAAGCGUGUUGAGAGGUAAGUGUGCACAUUGGCCUAUUAUUGGUUCACCUGAGUAAAAAAAGUGCACUGUAGAAACUAGAACAAGGCCACAAUAAUAAUGGUUGUUUGUCUAUGAGCCCUGCCAUUGGCUGGUCAUCAGUAUAGGGUGUACCCCGCCUCUCGCCCAAAGUCAGCUGGGAUAGGCUCCAGCAUAACCCCGCCACUUUAUAGUGAGGAUAAGCGCCAUAGAUAAUCAUGGAUGGAUUAAUCACGUUAACUGCCCUCAAGGGGUAUCAUCACAAUGCUCAUUUUGCAAAAUAGAAGAGGAAUCAAUAAGGCACUUAUUCUACGAAUGUACCAUUUAUCAAGUUUCUCAAAAAUUGCAUUUUUAUGUUCCUGUAAUUCUGCUUAUACUGUUUUGUACAAUUGAAGUUUGUAAUAAAAUAUACAUUUUUUAAAAGUAACUGCCCUCGUGACCCGGAAGUAGAAUGAUUUGAAAAUAAAAUGUUUUUUUAAAGAAAAUAAAUAGAACCCCAAAAACUAACAAAUAACACAUCCUUCCGUCAUCCGUCACAGAACUACAUUACGUAGAAAACUUUUUGUCGCCGCGAGUCCGCCUUCUUGUGUAGCACUACCUUGUUCGUUUGCGACUUUCGACGUUUUUACUGAUGCUUUCUGAAAUUCUGGCGAUAAGGCAUUAAAAUGUUGUGCUACACAAGAUGGCGGCGACACCGCGCUCUUGUGUGUUGUGUCCGGCCUGGUGUUAGCUUUCUACGUCUUUCUAUUUACGUGGUGUUCAUCAGUGGACCCACAGCUUGCAGAAGACCCCCACGCUUUUCCAGAAUUCUGGGUCUAAAUAGCUGACUUCAGUCCGCCUGCACAUUACACCGCAUCCCAUUCGUAGACGGCCUCAAUCUGUUUUGGAACCGUUUCUCCGUGCAGGCAAGAUGCUAUCCAUCCAAGCCACCAGGGAAGUUACAUGCUAACCUUAGUCCGCUAUAUUUAUCCACCAGCCUCCCCCCUCCUGUCGCUGCU